UUAACUGACUACGAAUUUUCACUUGGAUCAUCAAACUCAAAAAGUUUUCAUUCAGAUCACCUAACAGCGUAAAUAUUUCACACGAAUCACUAAACACACAGANAAUCCAAUACUAACUCGAUCCAAUAGAUCAUCUGUGUAUGUAUUUCUGGGUUUUGUGCUUCAGAUUUUCAAGUAAUUUACUAUGAAGUUUCUGUUGGUCACGUGAGCAGCCAGCUCAUUUUUCCGUCCAAAAGUUAACGUUACUAACGGCCAGUGACUUGAUUGAAAGUUUUUGUUAGUAUAAUUAUUUGACUAAAAACUUUUUGAGUUUGAUGACCCAAGUGAAAAUUCGUGGUCAGUUAAGUGACCAAAACGCCCUUUAACCCCAUUUUUAUUAGCGGUUUUGAGAUUGUAUCAUUAGACACAUAGGCCAAUACAUUAUUCUUUUAAUAGUCCUAUUUAAAAAAC
rnacentral:lncRNA from 1 species